UGCGGCGCAUUAGCUAGUUGGCGGGGUAACGGCCCACCAAGGCGACGAUGCGUAGGGGUUCUGAGAGGAAGGUCCCCCACACUGGUACUGAGACACGGACCAGACUCCUACGGGAGGCAGCAGUGAGGAAUAUUGGUCAAUGGGCGAGAGCCUGAACCAGCCAAGUCGCGUGAGGGAGUACUGCCCUAUGGGUUGUAAACCUCUUUUGUCGGGGAGCAAAAGCCGGACGUGUCCGGCUGUGAGAGUACCCGAAGAAAAAGCAUCGGCUAACUCCGUGCCAGCAGCCGCGGUAAUACGGAGGAUGCGAGCGUUAUCCGGAUUUAUUGGGUUUAAAGGGUGCGCAGGCGGAUUUUUAAGUCAGCGGUCAAAUCGUGGGGCUCAACCCCAUCCAGCCGUUGAAACUGGGGAUCUAGAGUGUGCGAGAGGUAUGCGGAAUGCGUGGUGUAGCGGUGAAAUGCAUAGAUAUCACGCAGAACCCCGAUUGCGAAGGCAGCAUACCGGUGCACAACUGACGCUCAGGCACGAAAGCGUGGGUAUCGAACAGGAUUAGAUACCCUGGUAGUCCACGCAGUAAACGAUGAAUGCUACCUGUUUGGCCAGAUUGAAGGCUGAGCGGG
rnacentral:rRNA from 1 species